rnacentral:rRNA from 1 species
UGCACUGCGACCUAUCAGGUAGUAGGGAGGGUAACGGCCUCCCUAGCCUACGACGGGUACGGGCGUUGAGAGACGUCGCCGGAGAUGAACUCUGAGACACGAGUUCAGGCCCUACGGGGCGCAGCAGGCGCGAAGACUGCACAAUGCUGGAAACAGCGAUGCGGGAAUUCCAAGUGCCGGCACACAGUGUCGGCUGUUCCAUUGUCUAAAAAACAUAGGAAGUAAGGGCUGGGUAAGACGGGUGCCAGCCGCCGCGGUAAUACCUGCAGCCCGAGUGGUGGCCGUUAUUAUUGGGCCUAAAACGUCCGUAGCCGGUUUGGUAGAUGCCUGUGUAAAUCGAACGGCUUAACCGUUCGAACUGCGGGUAGACCGCCAGACUUGGGACCGGGAGAGUCACGAAGUACUCCGGGGGUAGAGGUGAAAUUCUGUAAUCCUCGGGGGACUACCGGUGGCGAAGGCGUCGUGAUAGAACGGCUCCGACGGUGAGGGACGAAGCCCUGGGGCGCAAACCGGAUUAGAUACCCGGGUAGUCCAGGGUGUAAACGCUGCGGUCUUGGUGUCGGGAAUCCUACGGGGGUACCCGGUGCCGGAGAGAAGUUG